CCUACGGGUGGCUGCAGUGGGGAAUAUUGGACAAUGGGCGAAAGCCUGAUCCAGCCAUGCCGCGUGUGUGAAGAAGGCCUUCGGGUUGUAAAGCACUUUCAGUGGGGAAGAAAGCCUUGGGGCUAAUACCCUCGAGGAAGGACAUCACCCACAGAAUAAGCACCGGCUAACUCCGUGCCAGCAGCCGCGGUAAUACGGAGGGUGCGAGCGUUAAUCGGAAUUACUGGGCGUAAAGCGCGCGUAGGCGGUCUGAUAAGCCGGUUGUGAAAGCCCCGGGCUCAACCUGGGAACGGCAUCCGGAACUGUCAGGCUAGAGUGCAGGAGAGGAAGGUAGAAUUCCCGGUGUAGCGGUGAAAUGCGUAGAGAUCGGGAGGAAUACCAGUGGCGAAGGCGGCCUUCUGGACUGACACUGACGCUGAGGUGCGAAAGCGUGGGUAGCAAACAGGAUUAGAUACCCUAGUAGUC
rnacentral:rRNA from 1 species